AUAACGACUCUCGGCAACGGAUAUCUAGGCUCUCGCAUCGAUGAAGAACGCAGCGARAUGCGAUACUUGGUGUGAAUUGCAGAAUCCCGUGAACCAUCGAGUUUUUGAACGCAAGUUGCGCCCGAAGCCAUUAGGCCAAGGGCAMGUCUGCCUGGGCGUCACGC
rnacentral:rRNA from 1 species